GACCUUUCCCCUGAGAAUUCCAAGUGCUUUGUAGGCCUUGGAAAAAAUAUUUGAAAAUGAGGUUAAGGGGAUAUUGUAUAUUCUCAGUGAAACCUCUGCUUAACUGAGGUGGCACAGAGAAGUAAACUGAGAAGUAAGCCACCCAAUUUAAAUAACAAGGCAAGCAUGAGCAAGAUGUUUUAGGAAAGUGUUGGGAAUCACUGGCAAAAUAGAAUGAAAGAAUGAAAUCAGUGGAAAGAAACUGUCUUGAUGAGCAGUGUGAAAAUUGAUGUGGGAAGGAAUGGAAAGGAAAAUGUGUCAAUGUAGCUUGAGAGGUACUAAAAUUGCUAGAGGAGCUGGAGAGCAGAGCCUGGAAUGAGCUAAAUACAGGAGCAGCAGCGGGGCUGUGUGGGAGGCUUGGAAGAAGAAGGAGAGAGAGAUCUGAUGAGCAGGGCUCAGAAUUGCGGUUGGUGUGGGGGGCUGUGAGACUGACUGAGGAGAUUAAGGGAGGGGUUUGGCAGGGGGAGCCAGCAAAGACCUGCCUCGCGCAUGGGGAAGACUGAACACCGGCAUCAGGGUGAGAUCUAACGGGUAUCUGGGAAGCUGGAAAACAGGAUUUGCUGGGCAAACUGACAGGGAACGAUAAGAGGAUGCCUUUUGGAGGGAAGCCUACUUGCUGAGACUCCAGUUGCUGGCCUCUCCUUCCUUCCUGUCCAUCCAUAAUGAGUUCAAUGGGAACGGAGAGGCUGUGAAUUUGGAGAUUUUCCCUGCCUUCCACGGUGCUGCCUUACCAGUACCUAUUUUCACCUCUGGCUUCAAAUGUAUCAGGA